CCUACGGGAGGCAGCAGUAGGGAAUAUUGCUCAAUGGGCGAAACCCUGAAGCAGCAACGCCGCGUGGGUGAUGAAGGUUUUCGGAUUGUAAACUCCUGUUGUUAGAGAAGAUAAUGACGGUAUCUAACGAAUAAGCACCGGCUAACUCCGUGCCAGCAGCCGCGGUAAUACGGAGGGUGCAAGCGUUACUCGGAAUCACUGGGCGUAAAGUGCGCGGAGGCGGGAUAGCAAGUCAGAUGUGAAAUCCUCUGGCUUAACCAUAGAACUGCAUUUGAAACUGGUCUACUGGAGUAUGGGAGAGGAAGGUGGAAUUCUAGGUGUAGGGGUAAAAUCCGUAGAGAUCAAGAGGAAUACUCAUUGCGAAGGCGACCUGCUGGAACAUAACUGACGCUGAUGCGCGAAAGCGUGGGGAGCAAACAGGAUUAGAUACCCUUGUAGUC
rnacentral:rRNA from 1 species